rnacentral:lncRNA from 1 species
CUCUUUUGCAGUCGGGAUUGUUCUUCAGUUAACCUACACCACAAAGAAAUGAGGAACACAAUGGUAAAAAAAAUCGAGGAAAAUAGGAAAUGAGAAGGGGCUCAUCGAAGGAGGUUUUGGGUUUUGACCGCAGCGGCUCAGUUGAGCUCUGCUAGCAUUUUUUGGCUCACCCGUCGGCCUUUCGGCUCUGAUAUGAGCAUGAAGAGGUUCAAGAUUCAAUUCCAAGUUGAAGGAAGAAAAAUCUUACCUUUUCGGAGUCAGUGGUGGCUCUAGUGCGGCGGUAACGGUGGUUGGUCUCCUUCUUCAAUAUCUGGUUCACUUUUCGGCUGCCCUCCUUCUUCUUCUCUGAUCACCCUUUUGUCGGCUAGGGUUUUGGUUCCCUAUGAAGAAGAGUUUAAAUACUCAUCUUCAUUAAAUCCGGACCGUCCAUUUGAGGCGAUGUGACUCAUCAUCAACCGUUAGAUCUCUCUUAUUUGGGGAAUUAAUCUAGGCGGCACGAUCUGAUCAAAUCCAACUGUUCAAUCGCGCCUGAAGAGGAAACACAUCUAGGCUAUUCGUGCACGCGGGAU